GGCGAAGUGCCAGAGUGGUUAAUGGGUGUGCCUCGAAAGCACAUGGCUUCGGUCGCGCAAGUUCGAAUCUUGUCUUCGUCG
rfam:Colletotrichum incanum strain MAFF 238704 contig866, whole genome shotgun sequence.